UCGACGGCAAAGUUCUUAAUUAUGUAACUGAUACUUCUUCCAUGUCCAACUGUCCAAUUUGUGGAGCUACUCCGAAUGCAAUGAGUGAUAUAGAGAAGUUUGAAGCAGGAUACGAUUCGAACGAAGAUGCUCUGCAUUACGGCAUAUCUCCACUGCACGCUUGGAUGCGAUUUUUUGAGUGUUUAUUACAUAUUUACUGUAGGAUGGAAAUUAAAACGUGGAAGAUCACGAAGGAUUUAAAGGCCAAAUAUCUUGAACGGAAAAAACUCGUUACUCAAAAAAUGUACGAAGCGUUCGGAGUACGAGUUGAUCAACCCAGGGCAGGCGGAGCUGGGACCAGUACAACAGGAAAUGUGUGUCGAAAAGCAUUUUCAACUCCUGAAUUACUUUCCAAAGUUUUGGAUAUCGACGAAGAGCUUAUUAUUAGAUUUC